rnacentral:rRNA from 1 species
GCGGCGGACGGCUGAGUAACGCGUGGGAACGUGCCCCAAAGUGAGGAAUAACUGCCCGAAAGGGUAGCUAAUACCGCAUAUUAUCUUCGGAUCAAAGGAUUUAUCCGCUUUGGGAGCGGCCCGCGUCGGAUUAGGUAGUUGGUGAGGUAAUGGCUCACCAAGCCGACGAUCCGUAGCUGGUCUGAGAGGAUGACCAGCCAGACUGGAACUGAGACACGGUCCAGACUCC